rnacentral:rRNA from 1 species
CAAGGCGACGAUCCAUAGCUGGUCUUAGAGGAUGAUCAGCCACACUGGGACUGAGACACGGCCCUUACUCCUACGGGAGGCAGCAGUGGGGAAUAUUGGACAAUGGGCGAAAGCCUGAUCCAGCAAUGCCGCGUGAGUGAUGAAGGCCUUAGGGUUGUAAAGCUCUUUUACCAGGGAUGAUAAUGACAGUACCUGGAGAAUAAGCUCCGGCUAACUCCGUGCCAGCAGCCGCGGUAAUA